rnacentral:snRNA from 1 species
AUCUUUGCGCUUGGGGCAAUGACGCAGCUAAUGAGGUAAUAACCGAGGCGCGUCAAUUGCUGGUUGAAAACUAUUUCCAAACCCCCUCCUCGGCUUUGGGUCUCCCUUGGCCGUCGAGAAUUUCUAGAAGAACUCCCUCUCGAGGGGAAAGUCCUACAAUUUUUAGUU